CCGCUCGUGGCCGCGCUGCCUCCUCCCUCAGUGUCCGUUCGUGCCUCGCGCCGCGCGGAGCUUCGUGCCGCCCGCUGCUUCCUGGGGCUCCCGGCGCGGGCUGGCAGCGCUCAGUGCCCCACAGAAGCUCCGUGUGGAGGAGCCCGGCCCGCCCGCAGCUGCCGGAGUGAGGCGGUGGGAGGGGGGGGAGCCGGGUCCGACCGCAGAGCGACUGGGACUGAGAAGGUUUGUUCUCUGUGGCUUGGCAAAGCCUCCUGAUCCUCCUGCUAGAGGAGAAGCAAUUUCUCCAUCCAUCUAGAUGUGGAUAAUGAGCCCAGCGAAGUUCUCAUGACUUACAAAACCAUGCCCAUGCUCUCUGUUCCCAUCUGUAAAGUUUUUCCAGAGCUCAGCAAGUGGGGAGGACACCAAACCUGAAAAACGAGCCAGCAGACAACUGCAGUCUAACAGAUAAUUUUCUCAACAUCUUCGUCAGAUUUACAAGACAGAUAGACUGUUACCUGGGUACAAUCUGUAUCCUCAAAUCAGGUCUCUCAGCAAAAGCCAUCUGUAAUCUGUUGAGAAGAGGUAUUAUCUCUUUCAUACGUUAAAUCAUGCCAUAAAGUAUUUUGGGGCAUUUCUUGUAUCUAAAUCUGCACUGUACUAACUGCUUCUAUGGAAUUUCAGAUGUACUCUGUGAGGAACAGAAGCUUUGCAGUUCUUUCCCUUAGUGGCCUCAAACUUCUGCAUAAGUUGUACAAAUCUUUCUUAUAAAUCUUAUAUUUCAUUCUGCUUUAGUAAAGCUGAGAUGUAUCAAUACGAGUUAAAAGAAGAUAAAUUCUUUGUACUCUUCAACUAAAGUUAAUAAAGUGCCAUCUUGAAAUUAUUAGAAAGGUGACAAAAUUGGUUUUAUUAGAUGAUGAAACUGCAAGUAAUGGUGGAUAAACGCAGGUAAAACAUUCUUCUCAGAAAUCUAAACUUAUAAUUAACAUUGACCAUAGGCAAUAGGAACAAAUAAAGCAGUAACUUGAUGACAGUGGGAUUUCAAAGAAUGUUUUCAUGGUGCUUGAUGUAGCAUUUAGGAACGUGUUCCCAUUUGUUGCUACUGGACAUUUUAUCUCUUAUGGAAAGCACUUAUGAGCUCAAGCAGGAAUCUACACUUGAGCUGGAAAAGCAAAACUAUUCAUGCAUGGAUAUAUGAAAAUAUGUAUUGCAAUAUACAUGCAGACAAAAAAACUACAGUGCCAUAUUUUAUGCUAACAAAAAGUCUUUUAUCUCUAGAUCACAGAAUUAGAGGCAUCUUGGUUGUAUAAUGAGAUAAAGACUCUCAAGUGAGCCUGCAAAGCCAGCACAGAUGUCCUGCCUUGUUUUCAGCCUGGUUUUGGACAGAGACAUGGCCAUGCACAGCGUUCUGAAUUCAAUGCAGUUCUCAGCUACUAAAUGCUGACAUUUUCAAAGUAACAUGCUUAUUCCAUUUGUGUUUAUUUGCGAGGAGCACGAUAUUUGGAAAAUACAGUGAUUUUAAAGUAAUUCAGGAACAUCGUAUGGUCUGCAUUUGAGCAGCAGGGAAUGUACACGUUGACGCUGCUGUUAGUAGGCCUGGGCUAUUCAUCUAGCUCAUGUUUGAGGACAUCCCCAUAGAACACAAGUCCUGACCUUACAGUUCGGUUCAUGUAGGGAGUUCCCCAUGCUUACAGAGCUCUGAUUAGGUCAACAAGGCUAGACAUGGGUACUGAUCCUGUGUGAUUGGAUUAUGGGAUUGAAGCUGUGAUUUGUCCUACUAAACCAACCUAAGUUACUUAAACAGAUAAAUCCAGUUAUCAGAUUUUGUUUCUUAGCAAUAACACUUUCCAAAAUGCAAAACAAACAACCAAAAAGCUCACCCCCUCGCUUUCCUCGUGUGUUUGAUGGACUACUUCAUCUUUUAGUUUGCAUUGUCACAAAGUGUACAUAGGACUGCGAAGAUAGCAGAAAGAACAACUCCAAGUGCAAAAGUAGUCAAGGUGUUAUUUCCUUUUCCCACAAAACUGAUAUAAAACACAACUCUUUAAUUCCUUCUGAUUCUACUUAAGCCCACCCCACCAUGGACCCUGAGCUGUUUGACAGAGAUCCUUCCAUAAAGGCAAAUCAGCUUGGAACCGCAUCGUCUCAUGCAGUAAAUUCACUCCUCAUCCUACACUUAUGGCAAAAUGACGUAAGAAAAUUAAACCAAUAACGUGUUCACAGCACUUGUGAGGUCUGUCCCUGCUCCGAGUUUAAGCUUUGUCUCUCAUGUUUGUGUGUUACAAGAGUCCUCUUACAAAUCUCAUUGACUGUCAUGGCUGGAGCGUCUGCUGGGAGGUAGAAAUGCAGUUCCUUCCCAGGCAGAUCAGCUGCUGGAUUUGGCAAGCAUAGAUGAGUAACAAAAGUUUACCAGAUGUGUUUUAAUUGAUAAAUGCAUUAUUUUGUGCUAACUAUAGCAGUGAUAACAACACACAAAGUACAGUUGAAGGUUUGGACAAUGCUGUUUCAAUAGCAGCCCUCAGAAAAACACACUUCCUGUGUGAGAGAAGCUGCUGAAUAGUUCAUUCAGGAGCAGCUACGGGGCCUCAUGGAUAUUAGGAAAAGACUUCAGAACUGUCUGUAAGUUGAGCAAGUAGCACAGAGACCUGCUCAACUGACACUUAAAAACCCCCCCACAAACAGUAAUUUAGAAACUAAAUAGUUUAGCUGAAUAGAAAUUAUGUUAUCAACUGCAAACUAAUUAUUUUAAACCAGAAGGGAAAGUGAAGAAGAGCUCUGGAAAUCACGUUUCAUAGUGACAACGCAGACCAGACAGGUAGUAUGUUAAGCAACAGACUGUAGGGAACACUUACCUGAAAUCAAAGCGGAGGACCAACAAACAUGCUGCAGUCUGUACAGAUGUUCUCACUGAGAGACACAGCAAACAGAAGAUGCAGCCUAAAACAACAGAUAGCAGGAGGUGUACAAACAAGCACUUAGAAAGGUGCUCUCCUUUAUCUCGGAUUGGUACUUCAGUACCUUUAUACCGUAGAAGGGGAGCAAAGGCCAGAAACUGGAAACGUCCUGAUUAUUUCUACCUCUGGAAUCAGUCCUGCAUGCUUGCAGUCAGCGCGCAGCACUUGGAAUGCAAGGCUUAAGAUCUGAAAAGCUAUUUAGGAAUCUCUGCUGUAAAAAAUAUGCCUUAUUGCAAGAGGCCAGACAGGAACACUGAACUCUGAAGGGUCAUUUGUGAAUAACUUCAAGCUUAAGUGAUUAAGGGCUCCAGGCUCCAGCUCCACCCAGCCUAAAAAAUGUAUUAGAAACAUCCUGCUUUGUCAUUGCUGCUGGCCUGUUCUUCAGUGAGCAAGAGAGGAGUUGGACUUUUGUGUUGGCUUUGGUCCUGUGCCCCCGGGGUACUUUUAACAAUGCACAAUACUGUAAAGAAUUCUGAAACGUUUUUAUAACUUCCUUUGAACUGUGAGGAUAAAGAUAAAUAAAGAGGUUUUGGGCAUAGAAAGCAAACAGACGGCACUUCCUAAGGCUCAUGAUAUUUACAGCGUGCUUUUACAAGCAUGCAGUAGUACUUGUUAACAAGAACCCUACACAUUCUCUAUUCUUUUAAAUGGAAGGCAAAGCGUUCCAUCUACUUUUCAAAAAUAUUCUUAUAAAGAAAAUGACAUCUUUUCUAUUCAUUUAGGACAUUUUUCUUUCCUCUUCCGAAAUUAAACUGUGGUGCAAGACUAGGCUGGCUAACUCAGGAAAUACUUUGGAAUUAAAUUCAAUCUGAUUGGUUCAUUAAGGCACGUCAAAGAGAAGAAGGGUAAAAAGCACUGGGUAUAAUUAACCUGGAGCUCAGCUAGCAGACAUCCAAAGCCGAGCAUAAACACACCUGUGUUCCCCCAAAGGAUUUUAAUACAUCUGCCAAAUGAUGAGCACACAUCUCUCAAAUUGUAUCUGUAAAACAAAACAAAAAUACCCUCUAUCCCUCUAUGUAGUCGGAAAUAGGAACGUUUAAGUUACAUGUACAUCUCUAUGAUACACAGACUGCAACACUGGGAUGAGCAGCAGCACAGUUGGUUCUUUUGUUGAGUACAGACAAAAGAUCCUUUUUUUAAUAAGACAUUUAUUUCUGUUUUUAAAUAGCUCGAUAAAACCCACAAUCGGUACUCAAGAGUUCAAAUGUAAACAUUUACAGUGUAUUAUACCAUAAUACCGCCGUGUAUUAAUUCUGUACAUCCAACUAUUUGCGGUGACAAUCCAUAAGACCAGUCACAUUCAGCAUAUUUAUAAACUGAAAUGCACUGUACUGAGAUCAAAACAAUGCCAUAGCUGGAAAUAUUGGAAAGAUGUUCAACUCCCUCCUGUGGUGUAAGUCAGCAGCAUCACAACCAGCUUCUGGAAGCUUAGACAGCACGUUAACAACCAAAUGCCUGCACUUAUUGCAGUAGGACAACAGAUUUCAAGCUUACUGUGGAAACUCAGAAGUAAUAAAGUGUUAGAUUUCUGAAAUACAUACAAAGUUGUAAACAGUUUUUCUCUGGAACACACAUAAAAAUGGUUUGUGCCAACCUUCUCUAUCUCCCACACUGAAAACAUUAGGCCAAAAACAAUAGACUGAAAUUGCUUUGCACGGGUAGCAUCACAGUUUGCAGGAUGUAUGACGGUGUCAGCAGUUACAGUGAGUGUCAGGCAGCGGGAGCACAACCCAUUUCCAAGAAGGUUCCCAGAACACUCAUCCACCAAUGAAUGAGGCGCUACACAUUGAUAUACCGACAUUUGGGAGCGAGAACUGCCUACACUCAGGUAUCUGUGUAUUUGAUGGGUGAAACUGACCACAACCAGAAGACCAAAGAAUGUUGUUCCUGAUUUUUAACCAUUUUGGGGCAUCACAUUCUAACUAGGUGGAUCUUCCAUAGAGCAGGAAGAUGUUCAAAGCAGACUGAGAUCACAGAAGUAUCCAGAGUCAUGUCAAGGCAGAUGUUCUACACAGAAGUCCCUUUGGCCAUUAUUAUUAUUAUUAUUAUUUGAUUUCACCAUUAACAAUGAAGUAGUAAAGGAGGACAGCAUCAUUCUAACACUGCCGCAUUAUUUAUUCACCCAACAAGUGUCAGCAGAUGGUUUACCUGUGUCCUCGUAUUCAGUAUCUGAGUUGAUCAGAAAUGAAAAAAUCAGCCUUGCAGCUGCAAUCAUUGCUUUCUUAAACAUCAGCCACAAUGUAUUUGAUGAGCCCUACACUGCAGCUGAAGUUUUCGUGUGACAGAGGUAAUACAUCUUGCUUUGAAGGGAAAAAGACUCCCUGCUGCUCUGCCAGAUACACCACUGGUCACAGCCAAGUCACCCUGUGGAUACUUAAAUCUCUGGUUUCUGUCAGUUUGUUAUUCAUAAUAAAUUACAGGGCAGCGUUUCUGAAGAGGAAGAGAAUUUCAGCAUACGCUUAUGGUAAAGUUUAUGGGAAGGGAGGAGAAGGCAGCUACAGGUAGGACCAGGCCGUAAUUAAAAAAGCAAACAAGAAACGUGGCAAUAAGCUGAAACGUUGGGCAAGUAGGGACAGACUGCCUCCAGAAACUGAAAGAACAUCUACUUUUAGCAUAUGUGUACACAUACACACAUAAGGGGGGGAAACAGGGAGAAAAAAAGGCAAACUUUGGCAAAGCUUAAGAAAGUGCAGUCUU